UAACAGUUUGUAGUUUUCAGUUCAUAUAGGACAUAGGAUAUCAAAACACAAAACAUUUCAUCUAGACAUUAAAAGGUGAUGAGGAUUAAAUUUUACACAAUUAAAGCCAUUAUUAAAAAAGGAAAAGGCACUAGUAAUCUGAUGAGUCAUCUGGUGAGUCAGUUAACGGUACAUAUCGAACCGGAAACAAUGUUCUUUUCGAUAUUUUACCCUGCUCAUUUUUUUCGAUUAAGUAAAUGUUUUGCGAAUAUGUACCAAUCGGUAUAAGGAUUUUUCCGGGAGACUUCAAUUGAUCGACCAGUUUCUGAGGAAGCUCUGAAGCUGAGGCACCCACAUGAAUGGCAUCGAAUUUUUCAUCCUCAGACGUACCCAUCCUUCCAUCCCCUACAUUUAUUUGCAAUCUUUUUUCUUUGUACAUUUCCAUAAGAACUUCAUCAUGAUUAAUAUCUUUUAGCAAAUUUUUUUUUGAAGUUUCCACCAACUGGGGUAUGUGCUCAAUACCCUUGACAGUUCCGUUUGGAGCAACCAUUCGGGCCAUAGCGGCCACCAAAUAACCACUACCUGAACCAAUAUCCAAGGCAGAACAGCCAGGUUGGAGGACCGGUUCAAGUUCUUGUAAAGCCGUGGCAUGCAUAUGAGGAGCAGAUAUAGUAACUCCGUAUCCUAUGCUUUGAGGUGAAUCCAUAUACGGACUUAAAGGGCAAUAAAAUGAUCUGCUAGUAGCAUUCAUUGCCUUGAUGGCUCUCUGAUUCGUCAAAAAUUUUGACUCUACCAAAUGCUGAACCAACGCAGCAUUAGAGGAAAGGUUAAAACUCCAGAACAUUACUUAAUCAAAAAAUAUGCUGUGGUCGAGAAAUUCUUAUACGGAAUACAUACAAUUAUAUGCACUGAAAAGUUUUGCCACAUUCGCCUCCGUAGUACUUCAAAAUGCCAAUAGUAAUUUACAUUUUACAAGUUGAAAAACAAAAAUGGCUGUAGUACUUGUUACUCAUUUAAAGCUUUCAAGUUACAAUUUUUUAGAAUCAGAUCAGGCAGACUGCUGGCAAAGGGCAAAACUAAUGCCUAUUAUAUCAUCUGACGCACUUGGAGCUGUACCACGUUUGGUUAGCUUCCCAUUUUAUUGAAUACUGAGAAUUGCAACAAUCUCUUAUAUUUAUAAUGCUCGAUGUCCUGUUAACGAAAAAUAAAGUAUUUAAAUGGAUUGAGUAAAAAUGAACCGUAAAGAUUUGUAAUGUAUUACCGUAGCACAUGAGUUAAAUAAUCCGCAUUCCAAUAUGUCCUUGUAAAAAUC